rnacentral:rRNA from 1 species
AGUGAACGCUGGCGGUAGGCCUAACACAUGCAAGUCGAACGGCAGCACAGUAAGAGCUUGCUCUUACGGGUGGCGAGUGGCGGACGGGUGCGGAAUACAUCGGAAUCUACUUUUUCGUGGGGGAUAACGUAGGGGAACUUACGCUAAUACCGCAUACGACCUACGGGUGAAAGCAGGGGAUCUUCGGACCUUGCGCGAUUGAAUGAGCCGAUGUCGGAUUAGCUAGUUGGCGGGGUAAAGGCCCACCAAGGCGACGAUCCGUAGCUGGUCUGAGAGGAUGAUCAGCCACACUGGAACUGAGACACGGUCCAGACUCCUACGGGAGGCAGCAGUGGGGAAUAUUGGACAAUGGGCGCAAGCCUGAUCCAGCCAUACCGCGUGGGUGAAGAAGGCCUUCGGGUUGUAAAGCCCUUUUGUUGGGAAAGAAAAGCAGCAGGUUAAUACCCCGCUGUUCUGACGGUACCCAAAGAAUAAGCACCGGCUAACUUCGUG